rnacentral:tRNA from 2 species
GGAGCGGUAGUUCAGUCGGUUAGAACGCCAGCCUGUCACGUUGGAGGUCGCGGGUUCGAGCCCCGUCCGCUCCGCCA